UUCAUUCAAGGUCGGAAAGGCUCCCGACACUCCCGCAAGGGAACUUGAGAUGAUGGAUACGCCGCCCAUCUGAAUGAC
rnacentral:ncRNA from 12 species